GAGGAUGUGGCUCAGUUGGUGGAGUGCUUGCCUAGCAUGCUUGAAGUCCUGGGUUCAAUUCCCAGCACUUG
rnacentral:tRNA from 1 species